UCCAGACUCCUACGGGAGGCAGCAGUGAGGAAUAUUGGUCAAUGGGCGGAAGCCUGAACCAGCCAAGUCGCGUGAGGGAAUAAGGCCCUACGGGUCGUAAACCUCUUUUGCCGGGGAGCAAGGGCGGGGACGUGUCCCGGCCCGGAGAGUACCCGGAGAAAAAGCAUCGGCUAACUCCGUGCCAGCAGCCGCGGUAAUACGGAGGAUGCGAGCGUUAUCCGGAUUUAUUGGGUUUAAAGGGUGCGUAGGCGGGCUUUUAAGUCAGCGGUAAAAAUUCGGGGCUCAACCCCGGCCGGCCGUUGAAACUGGGGGCCUUGAGUGGGCGAGAAGAAGGCGGAAUGCGUGGUGUAGCGGUGAAAUGCGUAGAGAUCGGGAGGAACACCAGUGGCGAAGGCGGCCUGCUGGGCUUUAACUGACGCUGAAGCACGAAAGCGUGGGUAGCAAACAGGAUUAGAUACCCUGGUAU
rnacentral:rRNA from 1 species